CAUAUGCUCCCUCCUUCUGGAAAUACUUGUCAGAGAAAUGAAUAAAAAUGGAUGUAUCUAGAACUAAAAUACGUCUAGAUACAUCUAUUUCUCCGACAAGUAUUUCCGGACGGAGGAAGUACAAU
rfam:Triticum aestivum genome assembly, contig: Triticum_aestivum_CS42_TGACv1_scaffold_063292_1DL